rnacentral:rRNA from 1 species
GAUGAACGCUAGCGGGAGGCUUAACACAUGCAAGUCGAGGGGCAUCACGAGGUAGCAAUACUUUGGUGGCGACCGGCGCACGGGUGAGUAACGCGUAUGCAACCUACCCUGUACAGGGGGAUAGCCCGGAGAAAUUCGGAUUAAUACCCCAUAAUGAUAUUUUAUGGCAUCAUAAAAUAUUUAAAGCUCAGGCGGUACGGGAUGGGCAUGCGUAACAUUAGCUAGUUGGUAGGGUAAUGGCCUACCAAGGCGACGAUGUUUAGGGGUCCUGAGAGGGUGAUCCCCCACACUGGUACUGAGACACAGACCAGACUCCUACGGGAGGCAGCAGUGAGGAAUAUUGGUCAAUGGGCGCGAGCCUGAACCAGCCAUCCCGCGUGGAGGAAGACUGCCCUAUGGGUUGUAAACUUCUUUUCCAGGGGAAUAAAAUCUCGAACGAGUUCGGGACUGAAGGUACCCUGGGAAUAAGCAUCGGCUAACUCCGUGCCAGCCGCCGCGGUAA